CGCCUGCAUGAAGUUGGAAUUGCUAGUAAUCGCGGAUCAGCAAGCCGCGGUGAAUACGUUCCCGGGCCUUGUACACACCGCCCGUCACACCAUGAGAGUCGGGAACACCCGAAGUCCGUAGUCUAACCGCAAGGGGGCGCGGCCGAAGGUGGGUCCGGUAAUUGGGGUGAAGUCGUAACAAGGUAUC
rnacentral:rRNA from 1 species